UACGUAGGGACCAAGCGUUGUUCGGAUUUACUGGGCGUAAAGGGCGCGUAGGCGGCAAUUCAAGUCAUCUGUGAAAUCUCCGGGCUUAACCCGGAACGGUCAGGUGAUACUGUUUUGCUAGAGUGCGGAAGGGGCAAUCGGAAUUCUCGGUGUAGCGGUGAAAUGCGUAGAUAUCGAGAGGAACACCAGAGGUGAAGACGGGUUGCUGGGCCGACACUGACGCUGACAGCGCGAAAGCCAGGGGAGCAAACGGG
rnacentral:rRNA from 1 species